AUAUAUAUAUAUAUACUGUACUGUGCACCUGUUGGUGGUUAAAUCUUAUCCAGCUAACAUCCUGUCUACCAUAACCUGCAGAACAGAAUAUCCAGCAACAAUAACCCUGCAGUCCAACCAUCUAAUGGGUAUAGGGGUGAAGUUGCCUUAGAUGCUGACCCUGGGUCAGUUUUUCCAUUUACCCCACUAAUGGUUAAGGUUAGGAUUGGGGAGGGGAAGCUGAUCCUAGAUCUGUACCUAGGGGAAACCUCACCCUAGAGCUAUCUAACAGUGGGUCACGCUUAUCCCUUUUUCUAGACUAUAUCCUAGCCUGGUUAAACCAGACUGAAUGCUGUGUUCACCAUGAGGGGAGUGCUCAGUCUAGUUUUAAUCAGGCUAAAAAUGCUCGUCUUUGACUAAUAUGCAAAUCGCUAUUGGUGGCCAUUUCGUCACGUUGGCUCCUGUCCUGUCGAUGAAACGUUUGUAAUAGAGAACCUCAUCUCAGAAUGACAUGCCUCUUCCUGGUUUCUGUCGCUGAUAUUCAUUUGUGGUGUAUUUUCCAUCCCCCAUUCUGACUGUCUAUCUUCAUCUGGGGGUUAAUAGUGCCCCUCUCCUAUCACAGCCUUAAAUGAAAAGCCUUAAGGCCAGUUUCCCAGACACAGAUUAGAGCUGCAAUGUGUAGCUUUUUUGGGUGACCUGACCAAAUUCACAUAGAAAUGUUGUAGAUCUGUUAUUUUCAUUGAAAGCAAGUCUAAGAAGGUGGUAGAUCUGUUAUUUUUCUAUGCUUCCUGUUUUAUAGUUGUGUUUUUUGGGGUCUUUUACUUUGGGUUUUGUACCAGCUUCAAAUCAGCUGAAAAUACAAUGUUUUUGGUUAUUGGACAAUAUAUUUCACAGCGGUUUAGAUGCUACGAUGAUUCUCUACACUAUACAUGCUUGCUUUCUCACAAGUUGAAAUUCGAAUUCAAGCAACCAGGAAAUGGCGGUGCGAUAUCUGCUCAGUGCAUCUUUUACGCCUAGUCUUGGACUCCAUGGAGAUUCUCCAUUCAGCAUGAUUUAGAAUCCAGCACUAGGCUUAAUCUGUGUCUGGGGAAACUGGUCCUAAAACUAUUCCACCUAUUCUAGAACUAUCAUUUGGAGUGCUUGCUCCCAUGGUCUAUGAUGUCACCCACCAUGUCACUCUGAGUUCUAUGUCAGCCUGUUGCUCUGUUCCCAACUAUUCCACCUAUUCUAGAACUAUCAUUUGGAGUGCUUGCUGACUCCCAUGGUCUAUGAUGUCACCCACCUCUACCAUGUCACUCUGAGUUCCAUGUCAGCCUGUUGCUCUGUCCCCAUAUAUACAGGUCUGGAACUAAGCAUUGCUCUAUGUCAGCCUGUUGCUAUGUCCCCAUAUAUACAGGUCUGGAACUAAGCAUUGCUCUAUGUCAGCCUGUUGCUCUGUCCCCAUAUAUACAGGUCUGGAACUAAGCAUUGUAACUCUGCCUAACAACACAUUGGUACAUACCAACGUCUGGCAUUAUUACAGUUCUAUUUAUUUCAGAUGUCUAUAUGGCAUGUUUAAAAUGAAGAACCUGAGUUUUACUAUUGUACAUCCGUCCAAGAUCACAUAUCAUGAUGUACAAUUAGUUGUCCAGUCUGUUGGAUAAAAUGAAAUAAAGAUAUUGAAAAAUAAGUGCUGAAACUCUGUUUGUCCAUCAGUCAUGAUGCAGCUUUAUAAAUCUCAUGAGAAAGUGAACCUAAAGGUAAUGCUUUCCUGACGUGUUGGUUUGAGAGGAUAGAAGACCCAUAUUAUAGGAGUUAGCCUCCCGCUGUGAUUGGCUACAAACACACGACGCUGUCACUUUCCAGAUGGACACACCCCCAACACACAUACUGUACAGAUCCGCUAAACACACGGGGACAAUUGCAACCCAAAAAUAUAUAAAGGGGAAUGUCCAGAAUACGGUUGUCACAGUUAUCAAAUAAAAUGUUAUUGUAAACAGG